CCUGAGCAACAAUGGUUUUAUAUGGGUGUUCAAAGAAUAUUGUGCCAAAUGGCCCCUCGGUAGAAAAACAAAUAAAGAAAACCAUAAAAUAAACUGUAUGCAAAUUUUACACUUAUUUUCCUACACUUAAUCUAUGACAUUAUACCCCUAUGAAAUUCCAUUAUUACCAAAAAUAAGAUCCUAUGCAAGAUAGAAAACAAAAUUUUGGUAGGGGUACACUCUUAACUUCCAAUUUUCUUUAUUUUAGUUCUGCCCCCUCACUUUAUCAAACGAUCAAAUUAUAUAUAAGAAUAGGCAUAUAAGUACAUAUUCAUCUUCAACUACAUUGUACUAGCUAGUUAUUGUAUUUUGUACCUCAAGGUGCUCAAAUCAAAAACAUUCAAAUAUUUAAUUGGUCUUCCACAUUAUAAACGAUUGUUGUUUACCAGGCGUGAACUCGUGUUACGUUUUAUAACCUUUCUCACUUAAUCGAGGAAUACACACACCUCACAGCCUUAUUAGCAUAAUCGGAACCUUUCUGGUUUUUAUAUUCACGAAAGAAUGGAAAAACCCGAGAAAGUCAAAACUUCGUAUAUCUCGGGAUUUUAACGAGACCAGUCUAAUACUCGUGAAAAUCGAGAGAGGAGUUUAAAUGGAAAAAGUAAGUAAAAGUUUUUGUUUCUUAUAUUGGCAAGCUUUUAAAUUAUUUAAAGUUGCAGAACAAUUGUUUAUUAAUGUGAAGUCGAAGUUUGGGGUGAUUAGCCUUAUCUCGUUAAAUUUUGUUCAGCAUGAAACAGUCUGAACAGCAAUCCUCGAUUUUGUCAACAAUCUAAAACGUGCUAAGGAGUAGUCAUUCGUCGAUUUUCCUGCGGCUUCCAGAUGAUCUGAAGAUCGGGAAUAUAGAAAAUAUUGUCAAUUUGAUAUUGCUAAUGACCCAGUCAUGUCUGCUGAAGCCCAGACGUUUCCAGACCAUGACAUUAAUGAAUAGUUCUUGAAUGGAAUGCAUGAGGAUUAGAAUGGAACCUUAUUCUGCCUUUUUACCAACUUGGAAUUUAGCCUUACUAUUUUAUACAAGUUUUUUUAAAGGGACUUGGACACGAUUUAAGAUCAAAAUUUUGUUUUCAAUUUCUUUAUGCAUAAAAUGAUUUACUUGCACAUUUUGAAUAAUUGACCAUAAUUUGAAUGUUAGAAGUCAAGUUAUAAGAACUAUACAGGGGUAAUAAUUUAUUGUUAUGUAAACAAAGCUCGAGUCUUAUGUUUGUUUACAAAUAAUAUAAAGUAUGAAAUUACCACUUCUUUGAGAAAAUGAUUCAUAGAAAAGAAGGUAAACUGAUUCGAUGUGAUCAUAAAUGAUAUUAUUAAUAGAAAAAAGCAACAUUUGAAUGAAACUUACACCAAUAAAACACAUGAUAAUGUAAAUAAUAACAAGACUCACGCUUUGUUUACAAAACAAAGAAUUUUUAAUUCUUUAUCUCUCUUUUAACUCAGUAUUUGACUUUCAAAUUUUGACAAAGCAUUAAAAAUACCCAUAUCAACCAUUCUAAAUAUUGAAAAUGGAAAUAUAAAAUUUUGAAUUUUAAGCUCAAAUCGUGUCUAAGUCCCUUUAAUAUACUCUUUUGUAUACAAACAGAACAAAAAUACUUAGUUACAAUGGGAAAUGGACAUAAUAUAUAUAAGAGUGUCUGAUAAAAGUAUAGGUCUUGUUCAUGAACAGAAGAAAUUGACAGAAAAAUAUUCAGUUUUAGCCAUGAAAUACAGAUAUUAAUAUUUUUUAAGAAUAUUAUUUAAUCUAAAUAAGUUAUGAAAGGUCUUUUUCCUUUAUUCCAAUGUUUGGAAACAAAUCCAAUAUAUAAUUAAAAUUGCUGUACAGUAUAUCCUAUUGAUUCCUUUAAUAUAUCACUUUAGUUUCUUGAACAGCAUGUUUAUUACUUUUUUUUUGAUAAAAAGAUUUAUACAAGGUCAUUAAUUUAUUUGCAUUAUAUUCAACUAGACACAAAUAGGCCUUCUGCAACCUUUUCAUUGUUUAAAUGGUAUGGAGUUUUAAUUACCUUUCAAAUGUACAUUAAUCCUAUUCAUCUAGUGCAUCACUUUAUUAAUGUUGAACUUCGUGUCUAUUAGUAUUAUGAUUUUUUUUAGUAUGAUAUAUGCAAUUUCAUUAAUUUAUUUUUCAUUUUAAGAAAAUUCAUUUUAAAAAAGAUCUCUUAGAACCUGUGUAUUUUUUUUCAGUUUACAUAACAUAGUGUAUUCAUUGAAUGUAGUUGUGUAGAUUUGUACAUGUACCUACAAGCAAUCACCAGGUACAUGUACCAGCCUACUAUAUUUGAUAAAUAAAUGUACUUCUUUCAUGCCUUUUUCAUGCCUUUUACUCAUUGUUAUAUGUAUUAUUUAUAAUUAAAAUACUUUGAAAACUUUU